UGGGGAAUAUUGCACAAUGGGCGCAAGCCUGAUGCAGCCAUGCCGCGUGUGUGAAGAAGGCCUUCGGGUUGUAAAGCACUUUCAGCGGGGAGGAAGGCGAUAAGGUUAAUAACCUCAUCGAUUGACGUUACCCGCAGAAGAAGCACCGGCUAACUCCGUGCCAGCAGCCGCGGUAAUACGGAGGGUGCAAGCGUUAAUCGGAAUUACUGGGCGUAAAGCGCACGCAGGCGGUCUGUCAAGUCGGAUGUGAAAUCCCCGGGCUCAACCUGGGAACUGCAUUCGAAACUGGCAGGCUAGAGUCUUGUAGAGGGGGGUAGAAUUCCAGGUGUAGCGGUGAAAUGCGUAGAGAUCUGGAGGAAUACCAGUGGCGAAGGCGGCCCCCUGGACAAAGACUGACGCUCAGGUGCGAAAGCGUGGGGAGCAAACAGG
rnacentral:rRNA from 1 species